UACGUAGGGGGCAAGCGUUGUCCGGAAUCAUUGGGCGUAAAGAGCGUGUAGGCGGUUCGGUAAGUCGGCUGUGAAAGUCCAGGGCUCAACCCUGGGAUGCCGGUCGAUACUGCCGGACUAGAGUUCGGAAGAGGCGAGUGGAAUUCCCGGUGUAGCGGUGAAAUGCGUAGAUAUCUGGAGGAACACCGGUGGCGAAGGCGGCAUCCUGGACCGACACUGACACUGAGGAGCGAAAGCCAGGGGAGCAAACGGG
rnacentral:rRNA from 1 species